rnacentral:rRNA from 1 species
GACGAACGCUGGCGGCGCGCCUAACACAUGCAAGUCGAACGGAGCUGAGAGAAGCUUGCUUUUCUUAGCUUAGUGGCGAACGGGUGAGUAACGCGUGAGUAACCUGCCCUGGAGUGGGGGACAACAGUUGGAAACGACUGCUAAUACCGCAUAAGCCCACGAUCCGGCAUCGGAUUGAGGGAAAAGGAUUUAUUCGCUUCAGGAUGGACUCGCGUCCAAUUAGCUGGUUGGUGAGGUAACGGCCCACCAAGGCGACGAUUGGUAGCCGGACUGAGAGGUUGAACGGCCACAUUGGGACUGAGACACGGCCCAGACUCCUACGGGAGGCAGCAGUGGGGGAUAUUGCACAAUGGGGGAAACCCUGAUGCAGCGACGCCGCGUGGAGGAAGAAGGUUUUCGGAUUGUAAACUCCUGUCGUUAGGGACGAUAAUGACGGUACCUAACAAGAAAGCACCGGCUAACUACGUG